GGGAUGAACGCUGGCGGCGUGCUUAACACAUGCAAGUCGAACGAUGAUCCCUAGCUUGCUGGGGGAUUAGUGGCGAACGGGUGAGUAACACGUGAGUAACCUGCCCUUGACUCUGGGAUAAGCCUGGGAAACUGGGUCUAAUACUGGAUACGACUGACUAUCGCAUGGUGGUUGGUGGAAAGCGUUUUGUGGUUUUGGAUGGACUCGCGGCCUAUCAGCUUGUUGGUGGGGUAAUGGCCUACAAGGCGACGACGGGUAGCCGGCCUGACGAGGGUGGACGGCCACACUGGGACUGAGACACGGCCCAGACUCCUACGGGAGGCAGC
rnacentral:rRNA from 1 species